rnacentral:rRNA from 1 species
UUCCUACGGGAGGCAGCAGUGAGGAAUAUUGGUCAAUGGGCGGGAGCCUGAACCAGCCAAGUCGCGUGAGGGAUGACGGCCCUAUGGGUUGUAAACCUCUUUUGCCGGGGAGCAAAGUGCCGCACGUGUGCGGUUUGGAGAGUACCCGGAGAAAAAGCAUCGGCUAACUACGUGCCAGCAGCCGCGGUAAUACGUAGGGGGCAAGCGUUAUCCGGAUUUACUGGGUGUAAAGGGAGCGUAGACGGCCAGACAAGUCAGAAGUGAAAGCCCAGGGCUCAACCCUGGGACUGCUUUUGAAACUGCCG